AUAACGGUCCUAAGGUAGCGAAAUUCCUUGUCGGGUAAGUUCCGACCCGCACGAAUGGUGUAACGAUCUGGACACUGUCUCAACUACCCACCCGGCGAAAUUGUAGUACCGGUGAAGAUGCCGGUUACCUGCGGCAAGACGGAAAGACCCCAUGGAGCUUUACUGUAGCCUGAUAUUGGGUUUCGGAAAUCUAUGUACAGGAUAGGCGGGAGACUGGGAAGUAUGAGCGUCAGCUUAUACGGAGUCAUUGUUGGGAUACCGCCCUUAGGUUUCUGGAAUUCUAACCUGCGACCGUGAAUCCGGUCGGGGGACAUUGUCAGGUGGGCAGUUUGACUGGGGCGGUCGCCUCCGAAAAGGUAACGGAGGCGCUCAAAGGUUGGCUCAGCACGGACGGAAACCGUGCCUGUGAGUGUAAACGCAAAAGCCAGCCUAACUGCGAGGAUGACGGUCCGAGCAGUAACGAAAGUUGGAGUUAGUGAUCCGGCGGUAUGUGAAUGGAAAUGCCGUCGCUCAACGGAUAAAAGCUACCCUGGGGAUAACAGGCUGAUCUCCCCCAAGAGUCCACAUCGACGGGGAGGUUUGGCACCUCGAUGUCGGCUCAUCGCAUCCUGGGGCUGAAGUAGGUCCCAAGGGUUGGGCUGUUCGCCCAUUAAAGCGGUACGCGAGCUGGGUUCAGAACGUCGUGAGACAGUUCGGUCCCUAUCUGUCGUGGGCGUAGGAUAUUUGAAGAGCGCUGUCCCUAGUACGAGAGGACCGGGAUGGACGCACCGCUGGCGCAUCGGUUGUCAUGCCAAUGGCACGGCCGAGCAACUAUGUGCGGUUUGGAUAAACGCUGAAAGCAUCUAAGCGUGAAGCCAUCUCUAAGAUAAGAUAUCCCAUAGCAUAAGCUAGUAAGACCCCUCAAAGACUAUGAGGUUGAUAGGCUGCGUGUGUAAGUACGGCGACGUAUUUAGCUUGGCAGUACUAAUAGGUCGAGGGCUUGACCU
rnacentral:rRNA from 1 species